UACGUGGGGGGCAAGCGUUGUCCGGAAUCACUGGGCGUAAAGCGCGCGCAGGCGGCGAUCUACGUCCGGGGGUGAAAGCCCAGAGCUCAACUCUGGGACUGCCUUGGAUACGGGAUCGCUUGAGGAUCGGAGAGGCAAGGGGAAUUCCACGUGUAGCGGUGAAAUGCGUAGAGAUGUGGAGGAACACCUGUGGCGAAGGCGCCUUGCUGGCCGAUUUCUGACGCUGGAGGCGCGAAAGCGUGGGGAGCAAACAGG
rnacentral:rRNA from 1 species